UACGUAGGGUGCAAGCGUUAAUCGGAAUUACUGGGCGUAAAGCGUGCGUAGGCGGCUAUGUAAGACAGAUGUGAAAUCCCUGGGCUUAACCUAGGAACUGCAUUUGUGACUGCAUUGCUAGAGUGUGGUAGAGGGAGAUGGAAUUCCGCAUGUAGCAGUGAAAUGCGUAGAUAUGCGGAGGAACACCAAUGGCGAAGGCAAUCUCCUGGACCUACACUGACGCUCAUGCACGAAAGCGUGGGGAGCAAACAGG
rnacentral:rRNA from 1 species